CUCUGACACAGACUGGCAGGUACGGUGAACGAGUGGUCACAUGAAAAAUAAUUCAGCAGAGACAGCUACUCUCAUAUCAUCCAGAAGGUGAAACAGGAAGAAAAGAAUAGGACACCAGUUCCUCAGGAGCAGGACACUGGAAACAAACUGUCUUCCUACUUUCAAGUACAACCUUGGUCAUCUGGCAUUAUGACUUACUGCAAACAAAUGUAUUUCUCAGAAAAAAGAGAGAGCAAAAUCUCCAUUGCUUACAUCUUCAGAAACAAAUUUCUCCAGUGUUUGUGUUUAAAACUGUGACAGGAUUACCAAGAACACAUCUUGGGCAUCAGUCCCUGCUGUUUCAGGAAGACUGCAGUGACGACUAUUUGACAGUACAAGACACCCUUGACAGAUUGGAGCCAGAAUACUAAGAUGGGGAGAAACAGAGUAAGAAAAAUAAUUUGGCUAAACAGAGCCUUCCGAGUGAAUGCAAACUCUGUGAACUCUGAAUGUGAGCCCAUUUAAAUUAAUGUAAGCAUCCAUUUAUUUAUAAUUCUAUUAUCAAAAUCUGGCCAUUACUUAUAACAGCAUAAAUGAAAAAGGAGUUUUAGAGAUUUGGAAGCCAAAUGACAGACUAUGGACGUCAAUGGGUUUGAACUGGUCUCUAGAGUUGAAGAAUUAACAUUUAAAUAAUUAUACUACCUAGGAGUACAAGAGUGCAAUCUAGCUGUACGAUAGAUAUCAGUCAUUUUGUUUUUAAAAAUGCUUGAAACAAGAGCAAGUAUCAGCCAGAUUCUGAAAUGUAAUAUUUCAUUGCAACUGAAAUGAGAAACUGAGAACAUGAAAACAGUAUCUUCAGUAGAAGCAUUUUUUUUUGUCAAAUUAAAAAAAAAAAAAAACUUUGAUAGGGUAGAGUUGAAGUCUUAGGAGAGUAUGCAGUUCAUUUUUAAUCUCAUUUUUAAAGCAAUCGUGCUUAUUGUGCCGACAUGUAUGCGUGUGAAUCUGUCUGUGUCUUUGUGUCUUUUGGAAGUCAGUUUUAACAUCUGACAUAAAGCAGCAGCAGUCUUCAAGAAAUUCUGCUGCUACCAGUCUGGUCCAUGCAAUACCUGGCUCAAGAGCUGCAUGCGGUCCCCAAAGCCCUUUGGCCAACCCAGCAGGUAAGCGGCGAAGCAUCAGCCGAGGCUCGCGGAGCAGCCAGCCUGGGCAGUCGGCACGAGUAGUCUGCCUGAAGAUGCAGGUCGGUCCAGACCAGCCACAGAACAUAAGGUCCCUUGUCCAGCCAUCAGAGAAAACACGGGCAGAGGAUGUGACAAGGAGAUCGGGUACCCCAGUGGGGAAGGUACAGAGGGCACAAGGGAGACGUGAGACCGUUCAGACAGACAAUGAGAAAAACAGACUAUAUUCUGUUAUUCACAGAACUGCUUGCUCAAACAAUAAUUCAGUCUAUCUCUGCCUACUUCAAAAUUUUCAAAAGUAUGAACACAACAAAAAGGGGAAAAAAAAUCUCUCGAAACUUCCAGAAUAUGAGUUUAACAUUAAAAUGAUUUCCAGACUGGUACAACCUGUCCACACCCAAUCUUAUGGAUUUUAAAAACUGCUAAAUGCUGCAUUUUUAGAGGUAGCUCUGUAUUAUAUAGUGUUUUGAAGAUGAAAUGUAGUCUUGUAGUUAAAACAUAAAUGGAGCAUCCUGGAGUAUAAACAAGAAUUUGAGAGAGGAGAGUUCUCUUUUAAGAAUUUCCUCUGUAACCUUUAGCAAAUCACUUAAUCUUUCUGUGCCUCCAUUCCUCAUAUUUAAAACAGUGUAAAUACUUUCUGGGAAGAUAAAAGCUGUCAUAUGUGUCCUGGGUUUUUUACAACUACAAGUCAUAGAAAAUCCUCUAGUUAAAACAUUAAAACCAUUUCUUACAAAUAUUAAAGAUCAAUUUUUUGUUAUACAGAAUAAAACUGCUGAAAAUAUUCUCUUUCAAUGUGUCAUACCUGUUAAGCAGUUUAAUUCUUUAUGUAAGAAGUGAUCAUGUUGAGUCCACAGCUUUAUCUUUUUUAAAAAUUAGCUUUACAAAUUAACGAGAAAUCUAUAAAAGUUCAUCUAUAGUAAGUUCCUAACUGUAUUAUCCAGAUAGAGAUAACAAGAAUCCCAGACAUAAAGCUCACGACCCCAUCUGAGACUAUAGGGUAGAUCACUUUUCACAUAACGUUUGAACAGACCAUAAAGAGUUCAUGUUUCACUGUCAUACAUUCAGGAUGUAUGACAAAUGAUGACUACUACAUAUAUGUAACUUAGAUGAAGAUAAAAGUGCUUUGGCAAAUGCAGCAGCUAUGCUAACUGUUAUGUUCUUUUGACUUCAAUCCUUUUUCAGGUGUUAACAUAUACUUAAUCCAAUUGGUUUAGUAAUUCCCACUUUGGUAUUAAAUAAAUCAGUGAAAAAAGCUGGAAGACAUCAUAAAAUAGUAUGAUUGCUAACAGAAGAUGAGCCAGAAGAUGAGCCUGAUGAUGUAGUGAAAAUCUGUCACUCACUGAUAUGAGUUUGGAUUCUGAACUGAAGCCUGAGCUGUUGAAUCACAGAGGCUGGAAAACUGGCAAAGGCAUAACGUUAUGCUCCCAAACAGGGUGUGUGGCAUAGUGAAAAAACUCCUGGCAUCAUUCGCAGGUGAAUAUUUUGGCUCAUGUAAAGACUGGCUUCAACAAGUUCUGAAGGAAGCUACGUUCAGUCCUUCUCCACAGGGGAACAUACUUCUGCAGCAUGGGGCCUCUGAUGGGACGCUGGGUAGGAGUUUUCUUAGGAGACACCUGAGAGAGCUGUGGACCUAACUGGAGAUAAACUUGAAAUGAGGAACUACAUCUCUUGGACGAUUUGAAACUUUUAUGCUUAAAUAUGAGCAUUUUAGAUUGCAUGUAGCUGUAUAUAAAAAGAAUAAAUAGAAGUAACUGACCGGGGAAAGAACACGGGGAAAAAUUCAGUGGGGAGAAUAAGAUAGCGACAGCAGAACUGAUGUAUUUUUCUGUCCUUUCCUUAGAAAAUGAGAAAAAAUUCUUGUAACUUAAGGUGUCAUUAUUUUCUCAUUUUACUGUACUUGAGAUGAUAUCCUCUACAAUGUGAGCUUGCAGAAGUAAUUUGAUGGGAAAAGAGAGCUUUUACAAAUCUGAUAUUAACAGACACUCAAACAUCAAACACCCAAGUUAGAUGAAUAGUUACAUUACCUUUAUUUAAUUUAACAUUACAUGCAUAUUAGACACUGAUUCAUACUGUUCAUUUGCACAAGUAAUCAUUCUUCUUGUACAAAUAAGAACCAUUGCUCUUAUGGUGAAAUUCAGUAGCAUGUGGUGCACAGACUGGUGUGCAAAGUUACUGUUUUCAGUUAGAAAAUUGUAUUAAGGUCAUGAUUUCUAAAUGAAUAUUAUACAUAGUUUAAUUUUGGUUUUAUGCAGACAUUGCAUAGUUGAUUAUUAGUUUCUAAUGAAAGACUGGAAGUGUGGUAUCAGUACUGUUGAAGCAGAUCAAGUGACAGUAGCAAACAAGAAGAUUUGAAGAAGAGGCAUAACCUUCAGGGUUGAAAGGUCAGCAAGUACAGCCUGAGGUAAAAAACAAAAAGGGUUGUUAAACUUGACAUUUGAAUCAAAUUUCUUUAAAGCAGCAAAGAAGUCUGAAAAAGAUUCAAAUGCAGACUACAAUACUAACAAUAAUUAGGCUGUUUGGAUCUGUCUGGAAACAAAUUGUGCUGUUUUAUGCAAGUGUGAAGAGGUUUCUCUUGCCUUAUUUUUCAUUUUAAUAUUUUGAAGAAAAAAUAUAUAUCUAGGUAUAUAAACCAAGUAACUUUAUUGUAGCCUUUAGACUUUCUUCAAAUAUACAUGGCAUCAUGAGUGUGUAAGAGGUCUAACAUUUCAACUUGCUUCUAAAAAUAAUUGGGAAUUAAGAAUCCUUAUCCUGUGGCUUGGCUAGUACUUGUAAAGUAAGUCCAAUGUAAUGACUCAAAUAGUCAAUGUCUUGUGAUGAAUGUAUGUUUAAAAGAAAAAAGAAAAAGAGUCAUCACAAGCCUUCAGUGUUUGAAAAAAUACAUAUCAUCAGAUUUUUGGAAAAAAUAUACUUUAACAAACUACUAGAUAUAAAAAACAAUCAUCUUCAUCUUAAUCAUUUCAUUCUCUUGAUUUCACAUCUGUAUUUACAGUGAAAUUUUAGAUUUAAUAUUGAUAAAAGUAACCUUGUAAAAUCUCAGUAAAACCAAAAAAAAAAAAAAAAGAUGCAACUACCUUAAAAUGUACUGGCAAGAAAGGUACAAAUCUCCCCAACAUUUUAAAAACAAUAUACCCCCAAAACAUUAAACAUUAUUCAUUGAAAUAAUAAUAAUAAAAAAUAUCAUUUUACGAAGUU